GACGAACGCUGGCGGCGUGCCUAAUACAUGCAAGUAGAACGCUGAAGAGAGGAGCUUGCUCUUCUUGGAUGAGUUGCGAACGGGUGAGUAACGCGUAGGUAACCUGCCUGGUAGCGGGGGAUAACUAUUGGAAACGAUAGCUAAUACCGCAUAAAAUUGAUUAUUGCAUGAUAAUUAAUUGAAAGAUGCAACUGCAUCACUACCAGAUGGACCUGCGUUGUAUUAGCUAGUUGGUGAGGUAACGGCUCACCAAGGCGACGAUACAUGGCCGACCUGAGAGGGAGAUCGGCCACACUGGGACUGUGACACGGCCCAGACUUCUACGGGAGGCAGCAGUAGGGAAACUUCGGCAAUGGGGGGAACCCUGACCGAGCAACGCCGCGUGAGUGAAGAAGGUUUUCGGAUCGUAAAGCUCUGUUGUAAGAGAAGAACGGGUGUGAGAGUGGAAAGUUCACACUGUGACGGUAGCUUACCAGAAAGGGACGGCUAACUACGUG
rnacentral:rRNA from 1 species